UAGAGUGGGUGCCUCUCUUCCGAGUUUGAAAUAUGGUCAGUAAGAACAUGAACAAGUGCCUGGAAGCAGGAAGAAGAUGGCCAAGCAACGAAUCACGCAGAGCAGUGGAUCUCUCUCUCUGUUGCCCAGUCUGGAGUGCAGUGGUGUGGUCAUAGUUCACUGCAGCCUCUUAUCUCCUGGGAUCAAGCAAUCCUCCCGCCUCAGCCUUCUUGCUUCGAUUAAGAAAAUUCAGUGUCUGGCAUCUACAUGGUAAAAUCACAGCAAGAAAUUGGAACUCUAGAGAUUGGAACUGUAGCCACGACAGGGGGUGCCGACUCCUGUGGUCCCCAUCACACCACAGAAUACCAUGAGUGGAACUUUAUCCACAAACAUACAUCUCCCUCCCAGUGUUAGGAUGUUUCAUCUCCCUCAGGCCUUCCUUUUAGAAUUUCCUAGAUUCCUGAAGUCCUCCUAAGUCUGCAAUAUUAUCACUACAUGUAUAUCAAAUUAAAAUAAAGAUCUGU
rnacentral:lncRNA from 1 species